GAUUGCAUCAGCUCAGUGCUGCAACACGACCAACUGCAACUCCCAGACCCUGACAUUUCCGGACCCUCCGUCUGCUAACGGCCGGACGUGUCCCGUCUGUGACCCGACCACCUCUCAGUGCAGCUCUACAGUUACAUGUUCAGGAGACCAGACCAGCUGCUUCCAAGCAACCAUGACAAACGGCUCAGCAACAUAUCCAGUUGUGGGCUGCGUGUCUCCAAACACAUGUGCAGCUGCAGCGAGCCUGAAUAACCUGCCUUUCAUGGAGAGCGUUGGUAACAUCGUCACUGGACCGACCUGCAGCGCCGCAACCAUCAUGACAACUGUUCAACCAACAAUCUCUACCACACAAGAAACAACAACUGCUGCUGCAACAACCAUUGAAACCACAACUGUAGCUGC